GACGAACGCUGGCGGCGUGCUUAACACAUGCAAGUCGAACGGUAAGGCCCCAGCUUGCUGGGGUACACGAGUGGCGAACGGGUGAGUAACACGUGGGUGACCUGCCCUGCACUGCGGGAUAAGCCUGGGAAACUGGGUCUAAUACCGGAGAGGACCGCACCGUGCGGGUGAGGUGGAAAGUUUUGUCGGCGUGGGAUGGGCCCGCGGCCUAUCAGCGUGGUGGUGGGGUAAUGGCCUCCCAAGGCGGCGACGGGUAGCCGGCCUGGGAGGGUGGACGGCCACAUUGGGCCUGCGGCACGCCCCAGUCUCGUACGGGCGGCAGCAGUGGGGAAUAUUGCGCAAUGGGCGGACGCCUGAUGCAGCGACGCCGCGUGGGGGAUGACGGCCUUCGGGUUGUAAACUCCUUUCGCCAUCGCCGAAGGGUUUCUGACGGUAGCUGGAGAAGAAGCACCGGCUAACUACGUG
rnacentral:rRNA from 1 species